rnacentral:lncRNA from 1 species
GAGAAUGGAGAUUUUGUGUAGUGAGUCGUCUCUUUUCUGAUAGGGCUGUUAACUUUGAUGCUUUCCAACAUACAAUGGCCAUUGCUUGGAGACCUGAUCCUGGGAUGUUUGUCAAAGAACUGGACAAUAAUGUUUUCAUUUUUUAGUUUUUCCAUGCCUACGACAUUACAAAGGUUUUGAAUGAUGGUCCAUGAACUACCUAAUUAGGAGUAAAUUACGUAAUCAUAGAGAUUUGUAUAACUAACAGAUCUGAUAUAUAUUAUUUUGUGUACAUGUUUAUUUUAUUUCCUUAGAAUAGGCUAAAAUUUUAAAAAUAAAAGGCUAAAAUUUUCUUUA